UACGUAGGGUGCGAGCGUUAAUCGGAAUUACUGGGCGUAAAGCGUGCGCAGGCGGUUUUGUAAGCCAGAUGUGAAAUCCCCGGGCUUAACCUGGGAAUGGCAUUUGGGACUGCAAGGCUCGAGUGCGGCAGAGGAGACUGGAAUUCCUGGUGUAGCAGUGAAAUGCGUAGAUAUCAGGAGGAACACCGAUGGCGAAGGCAGGUCUUUGGGCUGACACUGACGCUCAUGCACGAAAGCGUGGGGAGCAAACAGG
rnacentral:rRNA from 1 species